rnacentral:tRNA from 1 species
UGGGCCAUCGCCAAGCGGUAAGGCACAGGGUUUUGAUCCCUGCAUUCCGCUGGUUCGAAUCCAGCUGGCCCAG